UACAGAGGUCCCGAGCGUUAGGCGGAAUCACUGGGCUUAAAGCGUGUGUAGGCGGAUGCCUAAGUACCUUGUGAAAUCCCAUGGCUUAACCAUGGAACUGCUCGGUAUACUGGGUGUCUUGAGCCACUUAGGGGCUACCGGAACAAAUGGUGGAGCGGUGAAAUGCGUAGAUAUCAUUUGGAACGCCAAUGGUGAAAACAGGUAGCUGGGAGUGUGCUGACGCUGAGACACGAAAGCCAGGGGAGCAAACGGGG
rnacentral:rRNA from 1 species